rnacentral:rRNA from 1 species
AUUGAACGCUGGCGGCAUGCUUUACACAUGCAAGUCGAACGGCAGCGCGGGCUUCGGCCUGGCGGCGAGUGGCGAACGGGUGAGUAAUAUAUCGGAACGUACCCAAGAGUGGGGGAUAACGUAGCGAAAGUUACGCUAAUACCGCAUACGAUCUAAGGAUGAAAGCAGGGGACCGCAAGGCCUUGUGCUCCUGGAGCGGCCGAUAUCUGAUUAGCUAGUUGGUGAGGUAAAGGCUCACCAAGGCAACGAUCAGUAGCUGGUCUGAGAGGACGACCAGCCACACUGGAACUGAGACACGGUCCAGACUCCUACGGGAGGCAGCAGUGGGGAAUUUUGGACAAUGGGGGCAACCCUGAUCCAGCAAUGCCGCGUGAGUGAAGAAGGCCUUCGGGUUGUAAAGCUCUUUUGUCAGGGAAGAAAAGGUCGUGGCUAAUAUCCACGACUGCCGACGGUACCUGAAGAAUAAGCACCGGCUAACUACGUGCCAGCAGCCGCCGUAACAC